rnacentral:tRNA from 1 species
GUCCAGGGUAGCCUAGUGGUCAUGGCAUCUGCCCAGUAAGCGGAAGGUCGUGGGUUAGAUUCCCAUCCCUUGACA